UACGGAGGGUGCGAGCGUUGUCCGGAAUCAUUGGGCGUAAAGGGCGCGUAGGUGGCUCGGUCAGCGUGCGGUGAAAGCUCGGGGCUCAACCCCGAGUCGGCCGUGCGAACUGCUGGGCUUGAGCACUGUAGAGGCAGGCGGAAUUCCGGGUGUAGCGGUGGAAUGCGUAGAGAUCCGGAAGAACACCGGUGGCGAAGGCGGCCUGCUGGGCAGUGGCUGACGCUGAGGCGCGACAGCGUGGGGAGCAAACAGG
rnacentral:rRNA from 1 species